UGAUAAAUAUUAUAAAAAAAGUUUAAAUUAUAAUGAUUUUGAUGAAUAACAUUUUAUAAUUUUUAUAAUAAAUUAAACCUAUAAAAACAUAAAGAUCUUUUUGAUAAAUAAUAGAAUUUAUUUUUAACGAUUUUUUUAAUAUUAAUAAAUAAAUAAGUGAAUAUUUAAAUGUAUAUUCUAUUUAUUUUGUCUU
rnacentral:tRNA from 1 species